GCUCAGGACGAACGCUGGCGGCGUGCUUAACACAUGCAAGUCGAACGGAAAGGCCCUGCUUUUGUGGGGUGCUCGAGUGGCGAACGGGUGAGUAACACGUGAGUAACCUGCCCUUGACUUUGGGAUAACUUCAGGAAACUGGGGCUAAUACCGGAUAGGAGCUCCUGCUGCAUGGUGGGGGUUGGAAAGUUUCGGCGGUUGGGGAUGGACUCGCGGCUUAUCAGCUUGUUGGUGGGGUAGUGGCUUACCAAGGCUUUGACGGGUAGCCGGCCUGAGAGGGUGACCGGCCACAUUGGGACUGAGAUACGGCCCAGACUCCUACGGGAGGCAGCAGUGGGGAAUAUUGCACAAUGGGCGGAAGCCUGAUGCAGCAACGCCGCGUGCGGGAUGACGGCCUUCGGGUUGUAAACCGCUUUCGCCUGUGACGAAGCGUGAGUGACGGUAAUGGGUAAAGAAGCACCGGCUAACUACGUGCCAGCAGCCGCGGUGAUACGUAGGGUGCGAGCGUUGUCCGGAUUUAUUGGGCGUAAAGGGCUCGUAGGUGGUUGAUCGCGUCGGAAGUGUAAUCUUGGGGCUUAACCCUGAGCGUGCUUUCGAUACGGGUUGACUUGAGGAAGGUAGGGGAGAAUGGAAUUCCUGGUGGAGCGGUGGAAUGCGCAGAUAUCAGGAGGAACACCAGUGGCGAAGGCGGUUCUCUGGGCCUUUCCUGACGCUGAGGAGCGAAAGCGUGGGGAGCGAACAGGCUUAGAUACCCUGGUAGUCCACGCUGUAAACGGUGGGUACUAGGUGUGGGGUCCAUUCCACGGGUUCCGUGCCGUAGCUAACGCUUUAAGUACCCCGCCUGGGGAGUACGGCCGCAAGGCUAAAACUCAAAGGAAUUGACGGGGCCCCGCACAAGCGGCGGAGCAUGCGGAUUAAUUCGAUGCAACGCGUAGAACCUUACCUGGGUUUGACAUGGAUCGGGAGUGCUCAGAGAUGGGUGUGCCUCUUUUGGGGUCGGUUCACAGGUGGUGCAUGGCUGUCGUCAGCUCGUGUCGUGAGAUGUUGGGUUAAGUCCCGCAACGAGCGCAACCCUUGUUCACUGUUGCCAGCACGUUAUGGUGGGGACUCAGUGGAGACCGCCGGGGUCAACUCGGAGGAAGGUGGGGAUGACGUCAAGUCAUCAUGCCCCUUAUGUCCAGGGCUUCACGCAUGCUACAAUGGCUGGUACAGAGAGUGGCGAGCCUGUGAGGGUGAGCGAAUCUCGGAAAGCCGGUCUCAGUUCGGAUUGGGGUCUGCAACUCGACCUCAUGAAGUCGGAGUCGCUAGUAAUCGCAGAUCAGCAACGCUGCGGUGAAUACGUUCCCGGGGCUUGUACACACCGCCCGUCAAGUCAUGAAAGUUGGUAACACCCGAAGCCGGUGGCCUAACCGUUGUGGGGGAGCCGUCGAAGGUGGGACUG
rnacentral:rRNA from 1 species